UCCUGGUUAGCUCAGUUGGUAGAGCGCUCCACUGGAAAUGGAUAGGACCCCGGUUUAAUACCAGGGCCAGGCG
rnacentral:tRNA from 2 species